CUACUAGUGUUAGGUAUUAGAAACAACGUCAUUUCCAUAUCAAAAUAUUUUACUUAUUACGUAAUCCUUUUUUCCCCGGUCUUCCUCUCUGAUGAAUAACUAAUUGAUGACAAUACUUAAAGCCGGUAUAUAUUUGCUAAGCCAGUUUAAUAACGCUUGUGAGCUGUCAAGGAAAACACGCAACCCAGAAUAACAAUGCGUUUGCUGUUCAUACUGGUAGUGGCGAUGACGCUAGCCGCCGCUCUUGCGCAUCCCACCCCCGAAGCCUAUCCAAGAAAUACCCAAGAAAGACUACCUCAAGAAA